rnacentral:rRNA from 1 species
GAUGAACGCUAGCGGCAGGCCUAACACAUGCAAGUCGAGGGGUAUCCCGCUUUCAGGCGGGAGAGACCGGCGCACGGGUGCGUAACGCGUAUGCAACCUACCCUGUACUGGGGGAUAGCCCGGAGAAAUUCGGAUUAACACCCCAUAGUACUAAUGAAUGGCAUCAUUUAUUAGUUAAAGGUUACGGUAUAAGAUGGGCAUGCGUCCUAUUAGCUAGAUGGUGAGGUAACGGCUCACCAUGGCGACGAUAGGUAGGGGGCCUGAGAGGGUGGUCCCCCACACUGGUACUGAGACACGGACCAGACUCCUACGGGAGGCAGCAGUGAGGAAUAUUGGUCAAUGGGCGCAAGCCUGAACCAGCCAUGCCGCGUGCAGGAAGACGGUCCUAUGGAUUGUAAACUGCUUUUAUUUGGGAAUAAACCUCUUUACGUGUAGAGAGCUGAAGGUACCAAAUGAAUAAGCACCGGCUAACUCCGUGCCAGCAGCCGCCGUAA